rnacentral:snRNA from 1 species
GUGCUUGCUUUGGCAGCACUCGUACUAAAAUCGGAACCAUCUGGAGAUUAGCGUGGCCCCUUCGCAGGGACAGCGCACACAUUUGUGAAGUGGCCCAUACCUUU